rnacentral:rRNA from 1 species
AAGAAANGUUUUCCGGAUCGUUAAANUCUGUUGAUUAGAGAAGAACCNAGGGCAUGAGAGUAAUACCGUUCANCCUUUGACGGUAUCUACACGAGAAAGCNNCGGCUAACUUACGUGCCAGCAGCCGCGGUAAUACGUAGGGUGGCAAGCGUUAUUCGGAUUUAUUGGGCGUAAAGCGAGCGCAGGCGGUUUCUUUAAGUCUGAUGUGAAAGCCCCCGGCUCAACCGGGGAGGGUCAUUGGAAAACUGGGAGACUUGAGUGCAGAAGAGGAGAGUGGAAUUCCAUGUGUAGCGGUGAAAUGCGUAGAUAUAUGGAGGAACACCAGUGGCGAAGGCGGCUCUCUGGUCUGUAACUGACGCUGAGGCUCGAAAGCGUGGGGAGCGAACAGGAUUAGAUACCCUGGUAGUCCACGCCGUAAACGAUGAGUGCUAAGUGUUGGAGAUGUUUCCGCCCUUCAGUGCUGCAGCAAACGCAUUAAGCACUCCGCCUGGGGAGUACGACCGCAAGGUUGAAACUCAAAGGAAUUGACGGGGGCCCGCACAAGCGGUGGAGCAUGUGGUUUAAUUCGAAGCAACGCGAAGAACCUUACCAGGUCUUGACAUCCUUUGACCACUCUAGAGAUAGAGCUUCCCCUUCGGGGGCAAAGUGACAGGUGGUGCAUGGUUGUCGUCAGCUCGUGUCGUGAGAUGUUGGGUUAAGUCCCGCAACGAGCGCAACCCUUAUUGUUAGUUGCCAUCAUUUAGUUGGGCACUCUAGCGAGACUGCCGGUGACAAACCGGAGGAAGGUGGGGAUGACGUCAAAUCAUCAUGCCCCUUAUGACCUGGGCUACACACGUGCUACAAUGGGAAGUACAACGAGUUGCGAAGUCGCGAGGCUAAGCUAAUCUCUUAAAGCUUCUUUCAGUUCGGAUUGUAGGUUGCAACUCGCCUACAUGAAGCCGGAAUCGCUAGUAAUCGCGGAUCAGCACGCCGCGGUGAAUACGUUCCCGGGCCUUGUACACACCGCCCGUCACACCCCGAGAGUUUGUAACACCCGAAGUCGGUCGG